rnacentral:piRNA from 1 species
UAAGACAAGGAUCCCAGCGUGAUGGCCAU